UACGUAGGGGGCAAGCGUUGUCCGGAAUCAUUGGGCGUAAAGCGCGUGUAGGCGGCUCGAUAAGUCUGCUGUGAAAGUCCAGGGCUCAACCCUGGAAUGCCGGUGGAAACUGUCGAGCUAGAGUCCGGAAGAGGCGAGUGGAAUUCCUGGUGUAGCGGUGAAAUGCGCAGAUAUCAGGAGGAACACCAAUGGCGAGGGCAGCUCGCUGGGACGGUACUGACGCUGAGACGCGAAAGCGUGGGGAGCAAACAGG
rnacentral:rRNA from 1 species